rnacentral:rRNA from 1 species
UACGAAGGGGGCUAGCGUUGUUCGGAAUCACUGGGCGUAAAGCGCACGUAGGCGGAUCUUUAAGUCAGGGGUGAAAUCCCGAGGCUCAACCUCGGAACUGCCUUCGAUACUGUAUGGCUCGAGACCGGAAGAGGUAAGUGGAACUGCGAGUGUAGAGGUGAAAUUCGUAGAUAUUCGCAAGAACACCAGUGGCGAAGGCGGCUUACUGGUCCGGUUCUGACGCUGAGGCGCGAAAGCGUGGGGAGCAAACAGG